UAAUAAGAAGCAAAAUCUUUGCAUUUAGUUUCGACCUAAAAAUUGAAUAUUCAUUUAUUCCUUAUUUU
rnacentral:tRNA from 1 species